GGAAGGCGGUUCAGUGAUGCCUCUGUGCAGAGUGAUAUGAAGCUGUGGCCCUUUAAGGUCAUCGCAGGCCCUGGUGACAAGCCUAUGAUUGUUGUCCAGUACAAGGGGGAAGAAAAGCAAUUUGCUGCUGAGGAGAUCUCCUCAAUGGUCCUGAUUAAGAUGAAAGAGAUAGCAGAGGCCUACCUUGGUUCCACCAUCAAGAAUGCUGUGGUUACUGUCC
rnacentral:misc_RNA from 1 species